GACGAGCGCUGGCGGCGUGCUUAACACAUGCAAGUCGAACGGUAAGGCCCUUCGGGGUACACGAGUGGCGAACGGGUGAGUAACACGUGGGUGAUCUGCCCUGCACUUCGGGAUAAGCCUGGGAAACUGGGUCUAAUACCGGAUAGGACCCUGGGAUGCAUGUCCUGGGGUGGAAAGCUUUUGCGGUGUGGGAUGGGCCCGCGGCCUAUCAGCUUGUUGGUGGGGUGAUGGCCUACCAAGGCGACGACGGGUAGCCGGCCUGAGAGGGUGACCGGCCACACUGGGACUGAGAUACGGCCCAGACUCCUACGGGAGGUAGCAGUGGGGAAUAUUGCACAAUGGGCGCAAGCCUGAUGCAGCGACGCCGCGUGAGGGAUGACGGCCUGCGGGUUGUAAACCUCUUUCAGCACCGACGAAGCGCAAGUGACGGUAGGUGCAGAAGAAGGACCGGCCAACUACGUGCCAGCCGCCGCGGUAA
rnacentral:rRNA from 1 species